rnacentral:rRNA from 1 species
GAUGAACGCUGGCGGCGUGCCUAAUACAUGCAAGUCGAGCGAACAGACCCGGCGCUUGCUCCUCUGACGAUAGCGGAGGACGGGUGUGUCACACGUGUAUAACCUCCCUAUAAGACUGGGAUAACUUCGGGACACCGGAGCUAAUACCGGAUAAUAUAUUGCACCGCAUGGGUCAAUAGUGAAAUUCGGUUUUUCUGUCACUUCUCGAUGCAUCCCAGCCGUAUUGGGUGGUUGGGAAGGUAACGGCUUUCCAAGGGAACUAUGCGUAGCCGACGGGUGGGGGUGAUCGCCCACCUUGGAACUGAGACACGGUCCAUGGUCCUACGGGAGGGAGCAGUAGGGAAUCGUCCGCAAUGGGCGAAAGCCUUACGGAGCAGCGCCGCGUGAGUGAUGAAGGUCUUCGGAUCGUGAAACUCUGUUAUGAGGGAAGAACAAAUGUGGAAUUAACUGUGCACGUCUUGACGGUACCGAAUCAGAAAGCCACGGCUAACUACGUG